UUUGGCCAUACUACCGCUCACAUUUCUGUGUAUUCUGUGUCAGUGCGCGCCCGCGGCCCACGUGCUUGAUGAAUUCCUGCGCAAAAAGUAGUUCCCACAUAAUUGUGAUAUAUUCGUGUGAGAUAAUGA